AGUGAACGCUGGCGGUAGGCCUAACACAUGCAAGUCGAACGGCAGCACAGUAAGAGCUUGCUCUGACGGGUGGCGAGUGGCGGACGGGGGAGGAAUACAUCGGAAUCUACUUUUUCGUGGGGGAUAACGUAGGGAAACUGACGCUAAUACCGCAUACGACCUACGGGUGAAAGCAGGGGAUCUUCGGAACUUGCGCGAUUGAAUGAGCCGAUGUCGGAUUAGCUAGUUGGCGGGGUAAAGGCCCACCAAGGCGACGAUCCGUAGCUGGUCUGAGAGGAUGAUCCGCCACACUGGAACUGAGACACGGUCCAGACUCCUACGGGAGGCCGCAGUGGGGAAUAUUGGGCAAUGGGCGCAAGCCUGAUCCAGCCCUACCGCGUGGGUCAAGAAGGCCUUCGGGUUGUAAAGCCCUUUUGUUGGGAAAGAAAAGCAGCAGGUUAAUCCCCCGCUGUUCUGACGGUACCCAAAGAAUAAGCACCGGCUAACUUCGUG
rnacentral:rRNA from 1 species